UACGUUAGUUGCUAACAGGUGAAGCUGAGCACUCGUAGACGAACUGCCGUUGACAAACGGAGGAAGUGGGGAUGACGUCAAAUCAUCAUGCCCCUUAUGUUCUGGGCUACACACGUGCUACAAUGGCCGGGUACAGACGGAGGCGAAGCCGCGAGGCGGAGCAAAUCCGAAAAAUCCGGCCUCAGUUCGGAUUGCAGUCUGCAACUCGACUGCAUGAAGUCGGAAUCGCUAGUAAUCGCGAAUCAGCAGGUCGCGGUGAAUACGUUCCCGGGCCUU
rnacentral:rRNA from 1 species